GUAGGAUAUAAAUGGAAUGUAGGAGAUGGUAAGCUGGUUAGAUUUUGGGAAGAUACCUGGUAUGGUAAUACCCCUCUAGCUACUCAAUACUGGGACCUGUAUGUCUUGGUAAAUGAGAAAAAUAGGACCAUUGCUGAGAUUUGGGAUGGGCAGGAGCUC
rnacentral:rRNA from 1 species